rnacentral:rRNA from 1 species
GACGUAGGGUGCAAGCGUUGUCCGGAAUCACUGGGCGUAAAGAGCUCGUAGGCGGGGUCGUGCGUCAUAGAGUAAAUCUCUCUGCUCAACGGAGAGUUCUUCUAUGAUACGGCGACUCUUGAGGACAGGAGAGGAAAGCGGAAUUCCGAGUGUAGCGGUGAAAUGCGUAGAUAUUCGGAGGAACACCAGUGGCGAAGGCGGCUUUCUGGCCUGAUUCUGACGCUGAGGAGCGAAAGCCAGGGUAGCGAACGGG